rnacentral:misc_RNA from 2 species
UUAAGUUCAGCGGGUAUCCCUACCUGAUCCGAGGUCAACCUUAGAAAUGGGGUUGUUUUACGGCGUAGCCUCCCGAACACCCUUUAGCGAAUAGUUUCCACAACGCUUAGGGGACAGAAGACCCAGCCGGUCGAUUUGAGGCACGCGGCGGACCGCGUUGCCCAAUACCAAGCGAGGCUUGAGUGGUGAAAUGACGCUCG